CAGUUCGGCGCCCCGCCCCCCAGCGCGCGCCUAAGCUGGUGGGAUCGGCUCCGCGGUAGAAGGAAGCGCGGGAAGGCGGAAGCCGGGGCCGGAACUCCUGAGUCGGCGCUGACUAGGCGUUUAACUGGGUCUGGUUUUCCCCGCCGGGACCCCGAGCACGGUAUUUAUAAGUUGCCCUGCCUUUGCAACGGCAAACCGAGAAUUGCACAAUACAUAUUAGCCCACAGCUUCAAGAUUGCAUGGGAUUUAAACUAGCUGAACUGAAAGGAACAAAAAAGACAUUUCAGGUUUUAACUCGAUUUGGCCAGGUCCCCAGCCCCCAAUGCGCUGGGGAACUGGAGGUGGCACUGAAGAAGGAAAAAAAAAAAGUGAGCAUCGCUAUGACCCACUCGUCAGGCCGUGGUCGUUCUGACGAGAGCCAGCGGGUUCUAGGAAGAACCGGGGUGAAGGGUCGGGAAAAACCGGGAGGCCCGGGCGUGACGGCAUCCCGCCCCACCGCCGGGCCGCCCCGGGCCGCCUUUGUCCGGCCGGCGCCCUGCAGCGGGCACUGCCCCCGGGCUGCAGCGAGGCUGCUGGUCCGCGGCGCCCUGGCCUUCGGCCGAGGCCGACCCCACAGGUCAGCUCCGAAGCGGCCCCUCCUGCGCCCGAGGUCGCGGCCACCGGGAGUUCGCCACCCACCCUGCAGGGCUGAGAACGGUGCCCGUGUCUGCCGGGAGCCACGUUGGUUCCCAUUUACAGAGGACAUAUUUGCAUUUUAGUGAGCCCUUCCGAGGACUCCAAACCCUGUUCCGAAAGGAAACCUAUAGGAGGCUGGGAAUUUCCAAAGUGCGGCAGUUCAUCAGUCCAUUGCAUGAAGGGUCUGCAGGGCCACAAGACAAUGGAGGGAACUUGGGUAGGAACAAGCCAAAGGAACCAAAGAGCCAAGAGAGCCAAGGAUAUUAGAACCAGAGGGGUCCCUGGAGACCACCUAAGCAAACCCUGUUAGUUUCCUGAUGAAGGUGCUGACUCAGAGAGGUUCCAGUGACUUCGACAACGUCACGCAUAACCAGAGUUGUUUCCUGCUCCUUGCAACCAACCAUUGACUGUACAUGUUUGGAAUGCACAGUCCCAAGUCCAUUUGAAGUGUUGUCAGGAUACCUAGAUGACUACAGUCUGAAAUACGUUGCACAUGCCAGAGCCAGCCAGACAAGACUGGGCGUGUCCUGUUGUGAAAUGAUCCUGCUGCACAGCGAGCCUGAGGGCUGAGGAGCAAGUGCAAUUAACAUUCCAAGGUGCGAAUCACUUCCCCAUCACAGGAACCCUGCAGCAUCUUAUUGUGACUACAGAGGUUGGACUGAAUGCCACUUUCUUAAUGGAAAGUGUCCACGUUAAAGACCUACAGAAAAGUUCUUAAAAGCGAUAAAUUCAAACAUCGCACAGUGUGUAAAACACUAAAUUAGAGGACAGGGAAACAGUUUCAAAAGAGCACGUGGCCCUGGCCGAGUGGCUCAGUUGGUUGGAGCGUUGUUCUGUGCACGAGACUGUUGCGGGCUCCAUCCCCGAGUCAGGCUCAAACAGAAGCCAGCAGAUCCAGGCCUCUCCCCCACAUCAAUGAUUCAUAUUCUCUCUCUCUCUCUCUCUCUCUCUCUCUCUCUCUCUCUCUCUCUCUUUCUCUCUCUCUCUCCUCUCAUCCCUCUUUAAAAAUCAAUAAAAACAUAUCCUUGGGUGAAAGGAUCAUGUAGUUCAGUGUCUUCCUUCCACCUCUUCUUUCAACUUAAAAAAAAAAGAAAAAGAAAAAACUAUGGAAAUACUUGUGUGUGUGUGUGUGUGUGUGUGUGUGUGUGUACACACUUAAAUGGACUUUGAAUGGUAUGUGAACAAAUAUAUAUUUUUAUUUUCAUAUUUGUUAGUCUAAA